AACGAACGCUGGCGGCAUGCCUAACACAUGCAAGUCGAACGAGACCUUCGGGUCUAGUGGCGCACGGGUGCGUAACGCGUGGGAACCUGCCCUUAGGUUCGGCAUAACUCCCCGAAAGGGGUGCUAAUACCGGAUAAUGUCUUCGGACCAAAGAUUUAUCGCCUUUGGAUGGGCCCGCGUUGGAUUAGCUAGUUGGUAGGGUAAAAGCCUACCAAGGCGACGAUCCAUAGCUGGUCUGAGAGGAUGAUCAGCCACACUGGGACUGAGACACGGCCCAGAAUCCUACGGGAGGCAGCAGUGGGGAAUAUUGGACAAUGGGCGAAAGCCUGAUCCAGCAAUGCCGCGUGAGUGAUGAAGGCCUUAGGGUUGUAAAGCUCUUUUACCCGGGAUGAUAAUGACAGUACCGGGAGAAUAAGCUCCGGCUAACUCCGUG
rnacentral:rRNA from 1 species